UACGGAGGGUGCAAGCGUUUAAUCGGAAUUACUGGGCGUAAAGCGUGCGCAGGCGGUUUGUUAAGUCUGCUGUGAAAUCCCCGAGCUCAACUUGGGAAUUGCAGUGGAUACUGGCAGGCUGGAGUAUGGUAGAGGAAGGUGGAAUUCCCGGUGUAGCAGUGAAAAUGCGUAGAGAUCGGGAGGAACACCAGUGGCGAAGGCGGCCUCUGGACCAAUACUGACGCUCAUGCACGAAAAGCGUGGGGGAGCAAACAGG
rnacentral:rRNA from 1 species